rnacentral:lncRNA from 1 species
GGUGGUAAAGGAGGAGAUCUCAGACGACAAUGCAAAGCUCCCUUGCUUCAAUGGAAGAGUGGUGUCCUGGCUGGUCCUGGCUGAAAGCUCCCACUCUGACACAGGCUCCCAGUGCACCGAGAGCCACACAGACCUUCCGCCACCCAUUGAGAGAACAGGCGGCAUUGGAGACUCCCGGCCUCCGUCAUUCCACCCAAAUGCUGCCAGCAGCCGGGAUGGCCUGGACAAUGAAACAGGAACAGAGUCAGUUAUUAGCCACCGGCGAGACAGACAUCGGCGGAGAAAUAGAGAGGGGCAUGAGGAUGGUGAGUCCUAUUUAAUUUUUCCCCUUUUUCAUUUAGAAAGAACAUUUUUUUCUUAUCAUCUUUCAGAGCAACA